CUACGGGCGGCAGCAGUGGGGAAUAUUGGACAAUGGGGGAAACCCUGAUCCAGCAAUGCCGCGUGUGUGAAGAAGGCCUGCGGGUUGUAAAGCACUUUCGGUUGGGAGGACUGCUUCUAGCACUAAUAUUGUUGGAAGUUGACGUUACCUUCAGAAGAAGCACCGGCUAACUCCGUGCCAGCAGCCGCGGUAAUACGGAGGAUGCAAGCGUUAAUCGGAAUUACUGGGCGUAAAGCGCGCGUAGGCGGCUAGAUCAGUCGGGUGUGAAAGCCCCGGGCUUAACCUGGGAACUGCAUCCGAUACUGUCUAGCUUGAGUACAGGAGAGGAGAGUGGAAUUCCACAUGUAGCGGUGAAAUGCGUAGAUAUGUGGAGGAACACCAAUGGCGAAGGCAGCUCUCUGGCCUGAUACUGACGCUGAGGUGCGAAAGCGUGGGGAGCAAACAGGAUUAAUACCCCUGUAGUC
rnacentral:rRNA from 1 species